AUUGUGUUGCGCCUGCGCUGUGACGUUCUUUUUCCAACCGCCUUUCCAGUCAAGAGGUCAAGAAUGUUCCUGUCUGCAUCAGCUAUCCAUCUGAAAAAGAAAAGCUGGCACUCGCAAACGAGAUUGUGUUGUUGGAUUAUGGUCUUAUUUGGUCAAAAUGAGGGAAAUGUACUGAGCAUUUUUCUUUUUUUUGAUGGGCCAUCACACAGUGGAUUUAUAAAAAUGAGACUACAGAACAUCAGACGGAAGCUUCAACACGUGAGAGGACAUCAUCAAUAAAGAAUGCCAUUGACCAAACCUUCAGUCAUCAAAGGAGAUGGAUACAGGUGGACAUCGAGUUUUCCAGACUUACCGAUAGGAAAGAAGACACGUUUAUCAGGAAAUGGGAGGUGACAAUUAUUGAGAAACUCGGGGAAAUAGCAUCUUUAGAGAAGAAAAUGGACAUCAGACAUUCAUUGAAGAAAGCUGACAGUCAACAUAAUGAUGAGCUGUGUUAUACAAUGUUAAGUAUUCUCAUUCAUCUUCUGCUGUGUGAAUUCUGCCGUCUCAGACCUGUGGGACUUGGUGCCGGCUGGUACCAACGUGACCUCUUUGCUUACUUAAUGAGGAAAAGGUGUCUGAAAUCAGCUCAGCCACAGUUGGUUUCCAGCGGUUCUUCAGGACAUAGAGGCCACUACGUAAUUGUCGCAAUGAAUGAUUCUCUUGCCUUUCCACUUGAUGUUGACAAGCUGACCUGUGCGGUAGACAGACUUUUCAAAUUUACUAGCUAAGUAACCUUAAGUAUCCCUGCCAACUGUCUUCAGUUUUUUUUUGUAUGAAUAUGAUCUGCCCUUGUCCCGGUCCUCUUUCAAACGAUCCAAGGCAAUGGAGUUUCAAGAUGGACCGCAAAAUUGCUGUCUCUUUUAAACAAUGCAUGCACUAUGUGGCGGUUUCCCGGACAGGGAUUAGAGAAUAAAAGAUUUUUAAGAGCUGUCCAAACUGAAAACACUGACAUAUCUUAAAAUACAUCAGUGCCCUUUGUUUUGCCUCAAAAUGCACAAAUUGCCUACAAAUGUUUUUAGUAAGGCAUGUUUGUUAAAACCAGUUAAAUUUCCUAAUUAAUCUAAGGCCCUGUCCGGGAAACCACCCCUAAAUAUUUGUGAUGGAAAUUUCUUUAAAUACACUUGUCAAGUUCAUUUGAAGUAUUUUUCUAAAUGUAAAAUAACAUGUUAAUGUUUCAGGACAAGUUAAGAAUUUUUGAUAACUUGCAUGUUGAAAAUGAUUGCAGACAUUGUUCUAUUCAACGUGUUUAACACAGUUGCUUUUAAAUUCAAUGAAUUAUUUUAUAAAUAGUGUUUUAAAAUGUAUGAAUGUAAUGUAUGUUUGAAGUGAUUAUACUUGCACUUACAUUUAUUUAAAUUAGCAUACAUCUA